UGAUAAAAGAGGAAUCAAACCCCGUUAAUGAAACUACAGUCCACCGCCUAACACUCGGCCAUUUUACC
rnacentral:tRNA from 1 species